rnacentral:rRNA from 1 species
UGCGAGUCGAGCGGAUGAGUGGAGCUUGCUCCAUGAUUCAGCGGCGGACGGGUGAGUAAUGCCUAGGAAUCUGCCUGGUAGUGGGGGACAACGUUUCGAAAGGAACGCUAAUACCGCAUACGUCCUACGGGAGAAAGUGGGGGAUCUUCGGACCUCACGCUAUCAGAUGAGCCUAGGUCGGAUUAGCUAGUUGGUGAGGUAAAGGCUCACCAAGGCGACGAUCCGUAACUGGUCUGAGAGGAUGAUCAGUCACACUGGAACUGAGACACGGUCCAGACUCCUACGGGAGGCAGCAGUGGGGGAAUAUUGGACAAUGGGCGAAAGCCUGAUCCAGCCAUGCCGCGUGUGUGAAGAAGGUUCUUCGGAUUGUAAAGCACUUUAAGUUGGGGAGGAAGGGCAGUAAGUUAAUACCUUGCUGUUUUGACGUUACCGACAGAAUAAGCCACCGGCUAACUUCGUGCCAGCAGCCGCGGUAAUACGAAGGGGGCAGCGUUAAUCGGAAUUACUUGGCGUAAAGCGCGCGAGGUGGUUCGUUAAGUAGGAUGGGAAAGCCCCGGCUCCACCUGGAAACUGCUUCCAAACUGGG